GAUGAAGAACGCAGCGAAAUGCGAUAAGUAAUGUGAAUUGCAGAAUUCCGUGAAUCAUCGAAUCUUUGAACGCACAUUGCGCCCCCUGGCAUUCCGGGGGGCAUGCCUGUCCGAGCGUCAUUUCUGCCCUCAAGCACGGCUUGUGUGUUGGGUGUGGUCCCCCCGGGGACCUGCCCGAAAGGCAGCGGCGACGUCCGUCUGGUCCUCGAGCGUAUGGGGCUCUGUCACUCGCUCGGGAAGGACCUGCGGGGGUUGGUCACCACCAUGUUUUACCACGGUUGACCUCGGAUCAGGUAGGAGUUACCCGCUGAACUUAAGCAUAUCAAUAAGCGGAGGA
rnacentral:misc_RNA from 1 species